CGUAGGGUGCGAGCGUUAAUCGGAAUUACUGGGCGUAAAGCGUGCGCAGGCGGUUUUGUAAGACAGGCGUGAAAUCCCCGAGCUCAACUUGGGAAUGGCGCUUGUGACUGCAAGGCUAGAGUAUGUCAGAGGGGGGUAGAAUUCCACGUGUAGCAGUGAAAUGCGUAGAGAUGUGGAGGAAUACCGAUGGCGAAGGCAGCCCCCUGGGACGUCACUGACGCUCAUGCACGAAAGCGUGGGGAGCAAACAGGAUU
rnacentral:rRNA from 1 species